CCAGCUUUUCCUUUUGCCAGCGCUUAUUGCGCGGCGAAAACCUUACACACUAUGUUUUUUUAAUUUGAAACUAUUGCUUUGGUCUGGCUUAGAAAUAGGUUGGGCCAAAGGUUUUAUCAAAACUUCAAUAUUUAUUAUUGAAUUGUUAUUUUUAAUUUUAUGUCAAUUUGUUGAUUAAUAUCAAAAAUCUUCAAAACUUUCAACAACGGAUCUCUUGGUUCUCGCAUCGAUGAAGAACGCAGCGAAAUGCGAUAAGUAAUAUGAAUUGCAGAUUUUCGUGAAUCAUCGAAUCUUUGAACGCACAUUGCGCCCUUUGGUAUUCCAAAGGGCAUGCCUGUUUGAGCGUCAUUUCUCUCUCAAAUCUUCGGAUUUGGUUUUGAGUGAUACUCUUAGUCAGACUAAGCGUUUGCUUGAAAUGUAUUGGCAUGAGUGGUACUAGAUAGUGCUGAACUGUUUUCAAUGUAUUAGGUUUAUCCAACUCAUUGACCAGUAAAGUAUUUGUUUAUUACACAGGCUCGGCCUUACAACAACAAACAAAGUUUGACCUCAAAUCAGGUAGGACUACCCGCUGAACUUAAGCAUAUCAAUAGCCGGGAAGGAAGGG
rnacentral:rRNA from 1 species